rnacentral:tRNA from 2 species
GGAUGAUUGUCCGAGCGGUCGAAGGAGCACGACUCGAAAUCGUGUGAGGCUCAAUACCUCCGUGAGUUCGAAUCUCACAUCAUCCGCCU